rnacentral:lncRNA from 1 species
CGGUGACUCACCGCUCUGCUCGCCCAGGAACACCAGCUUGAAUUUCCGCAGCGGGUUGCCGAAGUCCCCGCCCGCCGACAUGAUGGCACCGCCGCCCCGCUCGGUCGCUCUGGUCGCUCGUCCGCUCCACGCGGUUAGGGAUCAGCGAUUUUUUCCUCUCUUUUUUUUUCUUUUUCUAUUUUUUUCCCUUUUUCCCUUCUCCCUCCCCUCAGGCUGCGGGUAGGGCCGUGGGACCGCUCCCCGGCCGGGCUCGGGGAGGUGUACGGCGACGGAUCGCACGGCUGCCGCUCCCCUCAGGGCCGGGCUCCGUCCCCCGCGCCGCGCCGCCUCACACCGCCGCCGGUCCCGCCCCGCCCCUGCGCACGCGCGGCACCGCCCCGCCCCUCGGCGCACGUCACGCUGCGCGCACGCCCCGCCCCUUCCCCUGCAGCGAGCCAAUCAGAGCGCGGGGGCGGGGCUUAGCGGCGGGUGGGGCGCUGACUUCGUAGCGUAACGAUGGCGGUGCGGCUUCGGUUACUGAGAUUUAAACACAAAAUGUGAUUUUCAGAAGCACUCACCGCUAAGCUUCCCAAAGCUUCAGCUGGCGUCAGCACCUGCUGUUCCCAUGAAUAUCUCAGCGUGGCUGCCUGGAACGACGACGUGCUCAAUCACAGAGCCCUUUAGGGGUCUCAGCUCCUGCUUGCGAGUUUUAUUCACGUUGGCGGUGAUGCAAAUCUGCUGUGAUUCAGUCAACAAGGUUCAAACAACGCUACGCGGGGUUGCCUGUAGGGAUUCACUGCAGCCUUCACCUCCAGGACCAACACAGCCUGAUUGCAGAUUCACAUUUGCACCUGGAAACAGAGGUUUUCCUCCAGUUCUCCUUCUGGGAGAUUGCUCCAGAGCCUCUCCUCCACCAGUCGGGGAAACGCCAUCCACCACCCAUUGGUUUGAGCCCCUUUUGUUCUUCUUGUGAAAGCACUGCUUGUGCAUCUUUUCUUCCUCUAUGGUUUUCUCCUCAUGUUUUUGUAGAGGGAAAUCACAGCCCUUGUUGGCUUGUUUUGCAGCAUCACACCCACUCUGAUCGCAUUCCUCUUGCUGUAACCCAUCACCCGGCAGCUCAGCCAUCACAGGUGGUCUCACUGUGGCUGCCCCAUUUCCAGCUCUCAUGCUGCCCCUCCCACAUCUCUACACUUUCCAAAGUCGAAGGCCACAUUUCACCACCAUGUUUCUUCUGCUAAGUGGACCACGUGCCAGCUCUUUGUCUCCUCUCUGGGAAGUAUCACAGACCAAAACUGGUGUUAUUCCAUCUCUAAGGGGCUUGUAAAUGGUUCACGUUGCUGAAAGAGGCACAGGCUCUCAGAAAGGAUUUGUGUGCAGGCAGGUCACCCUCACCACAAACGCCCUUUGUUUAGUGCCUCCUUGCACGUUCUCUCUGUUCCACCUCUGAACAGCAAAUGGAAGUGCUCAUUGAAGCUUCCUGCUCCAGUGAUUUGCUUUUU